UUUGUGUUUUAGGGUUUCUCGCUGCCAUAUAUGAGAUGAGUACUGGGUUCAUCAGUCGAUAUCAAUAGAGAUGAGUACUGGAUAAAAAAGCAAUUUAUUUCUAAUGGGCUCAGGGAACGGGAACCGGCCUGCAGCUAGAAUCACGAUUGAAGACGACCAUUGUGUACUACUUGAUGUAUAUGACAUUGACCAUCUCCUACAAUCAACUCGGCCACAAGAUGGCGAUUCCCAGGCAAGGCAGAGGUGACAGAUUCUUCUAGAAGGCUUGGCAGCAGCCCUUCAGUUAUUCAUUUACUUUAGUGUAUGAGGACAAUGAAUGAGACAUGAUGCUUGUUGUUGGGGAUGUCCCGUGGUGGUGCCAAAGAAUUAAGACGGGAACAAUAUUGGACAAGGCAUCAUUCAGCACAUGUGCUAGUUGUGUCAACUGUUGGAUACACGAAUGUUGGAAAGAUUACACUUUUAAAUCAGUUAACAUGUAACAUGGGCUGAUGUUCUUUCUGAGUUGCUGGUUGUUUGCAACACUUGAUCCAACUACAAGGAGGGUACAUGCUGGUUAUGGGCAUGCUUGACCCAAGUCAUUGCCUCAUUGGGAUGUGCGGAAUUCAUUUGGCGAGUGGUAAGAUGACACAUUGACAACCGAGAUGUAUAAAAAAGUUAUAUAAUCGCCUUUACGUAUCUACUCAUGGUUUUAAAAGGCGCGACAUGUACUCCUAGGUCAAAAUUAGAAUCUGUAGGAGGCUGAUACGUAAAAACAACAACCAAAGGGAUGAAAAAAUAAUGAAAGGUUUACUUGAUAAUAUACAAUCUUAACGGUUUGUGCGAACAAAAUAAAAGAUAUUCCUUGCUUAAUGUGCCCGACAAAACCUCAAGGAUCCAUGGCCAUGAUGGUGAAGCUAAGCAUUCCACUACUAGAAGAUAUCAAUGACGACAUCGAUUUCUUUUUCAAGCCACCUAAAAAAGAAUUCGUGAUCCUUCUUCCUGAUCAUCCUUCAAAUACUCCUCAGAGAAGGCUACCAACGAAAUUGUAGAAGAGACGACUCCAUCCACCAGCGAAUCCAGUAUCAAGGGCAGUGGGAGCGGCAACAAACUUACUAUUGCAACGGAUGAUAACCUAGAAUUUGAUGUUCAUGAGGAAUAUUCAGAUAGUUUUCUGCGCUGGAUAAACAAUGGAGAGACGUUAUGCCACUAAUGCGUCCACAUUAUGAAAUGAGCUGUUUGAAACGGGUCGUGUUAGUCGAGCUAAAAUCAGUCAUUUUCAUGUUCGGGUAGCGUCAAGAAUUGCCGUCCCUUGCGUUAAUUACCUUUUGUACCUAUUUUGAAAAUGGUCUGUUUAAGGUGAUUGUCGAUUAACAUGUCUAAGCUGUGCACAACCGUUCUGGUCAUUACCUGUAUUUUUUUAGAAUUUAAGUUCGCGUCAGGGUUUGGGU
rnacentral:lncRNA from 1 species